rnacentral:lncRNA from 1 species
GUAACACAAAUAGCAUGAAACCUUAUACCUUUUAUAUAUUUUAUUUACUUUCAACAAUAUGAAUUAGCGUCUCUAUGUUAGCACAACUUUGAAUCUUUAUUCUUUAUACUUUGUAUUCCGUCUUCUUUAAUAAUAAUUAUUCCACAAUAUUCCAAUGUUCUUCAGUUUACUUGACGAGGCUUAAUUAUCUAGCCUUUUAAUUAUAUACUUCAGCCUUUGUUGGCUUAUAUGAAGUAUCAGCUUUUAUAAUAAAUUUUAGAGGAAGAAAUCUGUAACUAUGACUAAUUUCCUCUACGCGAUAUGUUUGUCAAAGCAAGUUCUAGCAGUGUUUAUCAACCACAAAACUAUGUCCUGUUUGCGUGGUUUGUGGUACUAGGCGUUUCCCGUGGUUCUUUAAUCUCUCUAAAUAUUUGCUUAUUCAUGCGAGGAAGGUUGCCUAAGGUCUUCCUCUUAUAAUUAUAACAGUAUACUGAAUAUAUAGUAUUGAAUAUAGUAUUGAAUAUAUUAAAUAACAUGGUAUAACACUGCCAUGUUACAC